rnacentral:rRNA from 1 species
UACGUAGGUCGCGAACGUUAUUCGGAUUUACUGGGCUUAAAGGGCGUGUAGGCGGCAGCGUAAGUCAAGGUUGAAAUCCGGCGGCUCACCCGUCGAAGUGGCCUUGAUACUGCGUUGCUUGAGUCAUGGAGGGGUGCGCGGAACUUGUGGUGGAGCGGUGAAAUGCUCAGAUAUCACAGGGAACACCGGAGGCGAAGGCGGCGCACUGGCCAUGUACUGACGCUGUAGCGCGAAAGCCAGGGGAGCGAAC